UACGAAGGGUGCAAGCGUUACUCGGAAUUACUGGGCGUAAAGCGUGCGUAGGUGGUUCGUUAAGUCUGAUGUGAAAGCCCUGGGCCCAACCUGGGAAUGGCAUUGGAAACUGGCGACCUAGAGUGCGGUAGAGGGUAGUGGAAUUCCGGGUGUAGUGGUGGAAUACGUAGAUAUCCGGAGGAACACCAGCGGCGAAGGCGGCUUUCUGGUCUGAUACUGACGCUGAGGCGCGAAAGCGUGGGGAGCGAUCCGG
rnacentral:rRNA from 1 species